rnacentral:lncRNA from 1 species
GUACCCGAGGCCGGGCCGGAGCCGCAGGCCAGCCGCGAUUCCUUCGGGCGAUGCUGGGGGCUUUCCGGUCGGGGCCGCAGCCGCUUCCGGAGCCGCGGGCGAGGUGCGUUCCCCAGCCUGGUUUGCUCUGGGCUCUGACCCGCCGCCGCGAAUCUCCGCUCGUAACUCCGGGCCUGAACCUGGAGGAGGGAGGAUUUCCUCUGUGCAGCUUUCGAGCGGUAGACUCACCCUGCCAGGCAGACCUAGAUUGGCAUAACCAGAGAUCAGUUCCAGUUGUGAUGCAGUGGGUGUCUACACACUUCUGAUGACACCUUUAUUUUAAAAGCUGAUGUUCCAAGAGUCGGGGUUUCACCGUGUUAGCCAGGAUGGUCUCGAUCUCCUGACCUCGUGAUCCGCCCACCUCCGCCUCUCCAAGUGCUGGGAUUACAGGCAUGAGCCACCGCGCCCGGCCCUUGUAUUUUUAAACUUUGACUUUAUGGAGACGAACACCAUCGUUUGCUGAACACUUGAAACAUGAUGAAAGAGCCACAGAGUUGGCAGAACUGUUUGAAAAUGCUGUGCAAGCGGUCUUCUCUGUCUUCUUUAUGGCCAGUAAAAUUCUCCAGAAGAGAUUUAUGGCAGCCUCACUCCCAGUAGUUUCUGCAUUUAGUGAGAUAAGGAAUGGAUUUUCUUCUGUGUAUUGCUGACACGAACAGGAGACGGAAAUACUGAGUAGAAGAGGGCGGUUCCCUGGCUAAGGCCCCACCCUCAAGCCUGGAUACCCGCGGCCCUAAAUGAGAAGAGGCGUUUCUGUUUGGGGCCCAAAAAGUUGCUUUUUGACCCACCACGCCCCCUAUCCUGCCCCCAUAUAAACCCCAAACCCCAACCUCCAGAGCAUACCAGCAGGUGAGGAGAUACGAGGCAAGCCGACUGACGGCAAAACGACGUAGCAGAGAAAGAGAGAAGAGGAGGGACGUCUGGACACCGAGAGAUGUUUGGCUCGGGGCAGUCAGAGCGGAGUCCAGCCCCUGGGCGGCCCAACUCCAGGGGAAGAUCACCUUCCCACUUCAUCCAUCCCCACCCUUCCAGCUCCCCAUCCAUCCUGCUGAAAGCCAUUUCCACCACUCAAUAAAACCUCGCAUUCAUCCUUCAAGUCCGUGUGUGACCCGAUUUUUCCUGGAUUCUGGAAAAGAGCUCGGAAUACAGAAAGCUGUCCCCUGGUCCUUUGCCCUUGUGAAAAAGCAGAAGGUCCAUUGAGCUGGUUAACACUCCAGCUGUCUGUGGUGGCCAAGCUGAAAGAGCUUUGUAACACUGGGGUUGCAGGCACCCACCUCUAGACGCUACCGCAGAGCCAGAGCCCAAAGCCCUCACCCCGGCCUCUGCACUUGCCCAUCUGCGUGCUCCCCCUCUCGCAAGGGGUUUCUGCAGAGGGGGCUACUGAACAGGUGAGCCACACCCCUGUCGCACGCCCUGCAAGGGGAAUCAGGGAACUCUUCCGUUUCAUUGCUUUGACCACAUCCUAUAAAUCUUGUUCUCCUUGUCUUUCAGCUCCAAUUUGUUUAUACAUUCAGUUUUUACUUUUGACUUUACUCAUGAUUUAUUAUAGAAAGAUGUUUAACAAUUUUCAAGCAAAUGGAAUAAUUUUUGCUCCUCUUUCGUUGUUAAUUUAUUAUUCAUUGGAGUUAGAAAAUUGUUGCUAAAAUAAAUUCUGCAUUUUGAA